GCAUCUGAUAGCUCAGUUCGUAGAGCAUGAGACUCUAAAUCUGAAGGCUGUGGGUUCAAGCCCCAUGUUGGGCA
rnacentral:tRNA from 1 species